rnacentral:rRNA from 1 species
CGAAAGCCUGACGGAGCAAGACCGCGUGAGGGAGGAAGGCUCUUGGGUUGUAAACCUCUUUUCUCAGGGAAGAAGCUCUGACGGUACCUGAGGAAUCAGCCUCGGCUAACUCCGUGCCAGCAGCCGCGGUAAUACGGAGGAGGCAAGCGUUAUCCGGAAUUAUUGGGCGUAAAGCGUCCGCAGGUGGCGAUUCAAGUCUGCUGUCAAAGCACGGGGCUUAACUCCGUUAAGGCAGUGGAAACUGAAUGGCUAGAGUGCCGUAGGGGUAGAGGGAAUUCCCGGUGUAGCGGCGAAAUGCGUAGAUAUCAGAAGGAACACCAACGGCGAAGGCAGCUCACUGGACAAUUACUGACGCUGAGGGACGAAAGCGUGGGGAGCG